GGCUUUAUAGUCAAUUUAUGAUAUUAGACUGCAAUUCUAAAGUAGUAAAAUUCUUACUAAAGCUU
rnacentral:tRNA from 1 species